rnacentral:rRNA from 1 species
ACUGAUGGCCAUACCACCCUGCAUGCGCCUGAUGUCGGAAGCUAAGCAGGGGUGGGCCUGGCUAGUACUUGGAUGGGAAAAGACAAGGAAGAGGACUUCCAGAA